rnacentral:misc_RNA from 1 species
AAAGUCGUAACAAGGUUUCCGUAGGUGAACCUGCGGAAGGAUCAUUAUCAGGUGUUUAUCGACAUCUAACCACGUGUGCACUGUUUGAUUGUUGUGGCGCCCAAGGUGGAUCGUCUUUGGGAUGAUUGAUCUAGGCGUCAUGUUUUUUGAACCCACUAAUUUUGAAUGCCGAGUAAACAACAAAAGACUAGAAAACUUUUAGCAACGGAUCUCUAGGCUCUU